rnacentral:lncRNA from 1 species
AGGGCCAGAGCCAGCUCAAGAAUAAGACUUGGUCCAAGUCGGGGUUUUUUCCUUCUUUUUGGUUAUAGUGGGGGGAAUAAGGGAAUAUUCUGCUGAAAACAGGGUGCGUCCCUUGGUGCCAAAGGUUGACGAUAGGGGGGAUGGCCAAUUUCCAGGCAUAGGAUGUGUGUAGAGGGGGAGGGAGUGAAAUAAAGAGAAGGUCUUGGAAGGAUGCCUCGUCCAACAGCCUUGGAGUGCGUGGAGCGGAGGUUGGCAGUGCAGCGGCGACUACGGUUGUUCGAGGAGCGUAUCACAGCGAGAAUCGCUCAAGAUCAACCAAUCUGUGUGAGUUGUCCGACUUGUGGGCAGCCCUGGGUUAGGAUGUUGGCAGAGGUUCUAGCAGAGGUCGCUGACGAGGCUAGAGACGAGGCUAGGCAGCAGUGAUUCUCCACGUCGCUGGUGUGUUGUCGCGAGGAGCAACAUCUUUUGGUGCACUGCCCGGGAAGCGAAGUGAGCGUGGAGAUUGUGGUAGAAGGGUGAGCGCCAGGAGAAGCCGGGCUGCCCUCACCAAAUCGAGGCCGUUCCUUCUUGGUGUAUGAGCCAAAGAAGACAAGAGUAUUUGGCGAGACUUGUAGAAGCACAAGAGCGAGAGGAAAGACGAACGAAGCAGAGACGUGAGAGAGAGGCGAGAAUUCUUGCGAGAAAUCUGCCACUGGUUCAUGAGCCUGAGAGUCCAAGAGCGAGGAGUGCAAAUCCUCGUCCAAGCAGUCCUGUUAGCGAGCAGGAGAACAAUCAGGAACAAGAAGACGAGUGGCAGGAGUUCCAGUCGUCACCGCCAUGACAACAGCCAAUAGAGCAGCAACAGCAACCACCAAUCCAACAAGUACAACAACCUCGGCAGCAACAAGCAGGGAAUAUGGCAACGACAAAAAUGAAGUAUACCAUCUUUAAUGGUAUGGGAGAUCCAGAUGCCCACGUGACAGCGUUUGAGAAUACGUCUACAGCAAAUGAUGAGGCAGAUGCAGCAGAUCGCAGGAAACUUUUUCCAGCCACGUUACAGGGCGUAGCUGCAGAAUGGAUGGCUCAAGUUCCAGCAGCGACAGAUUGGGCAGCAUUGAGAGCAUCCUUUUUGGCUACCUUUCGGCCAGUAGGCUUUUCACAGCGACUCAUGAGUGAUCUGAGUCAUUUUCAACUCUUGCCUGGCGAGAGUUUACAAAGCUAUACAUUAAGGUUCAAGGGAUUGAUCCUCAAGAAGCAGCCACAACCAACAGAAGAAGAGCAAGCACAGUAUUACACAAAUGGCUUGCCUCAUGCAGUUAGCUUUCAUGUCUCGUGCCAUAAUCCACAAACUUUGGCCGAUGCAAUUUGUCUGGCGGGAACCUGGGAGCAAGCGCAGCUCAAGAUGAGACACCACUUCAGUAAUCUUGGACUGGGAGCUUUCGGCGAUGGAAUGAUGAAUUCCAUGAUGGGAGGACUCGGAAGCACACCGCAACAACCAAUACCUACUGGACAGCAGCUUUUUGGAGUCUUUGGAACAGGUCUUGGGAUGAUGGACUAUAGCCGCCAACAACAGCAACAAUGGCAAGCUUCAACAAGUGCAGUUCCAAAUCCAGUGGCAACUACAGUGGACAUCCAAGCAGAGAUGAAGAAAAUAAAGGAAGACAUGGUGGAAGCCAUGACAAAAAAGAUGAGUGACUUGCAAUUGAACUGGGUCAGAGGGGUACAGAGCAGGCCACAGCCCGUGCGGCAGCGAGAAAACAUCUGGUGUGUGCGAUGCAACAAUUAUGGACACUACCCAAAUGAGUGUCCACAGCCAGUGGUGAAUCGAGAGAAGUGUCAGUAUUGCCGGCGAACUAAUCAUCGCUCAGAGGAUUGUUUUUACAAGCCAGGAAAUCCAGCAAUCCCUGCAAGUUACAUCCAGACUGCGCCAUCAUCACCACCAUCUUUGGCUCGAGCACCGACCUUCUUUCAACGCCCGUUUUCUCCUCCAGUCCAGACCAUGAGCUACGAGCCAGUGAUUCAGGGGUAUACGCCAGAUAUGAUUCCAGUAUAUGCAGCAGCACCAAUUCCAGGUGGCCGUGGACGAGGAGCUCCCCGUAGAGGACCUGUUCAAUGCUGGAAUUGCGAUGAGAUGGGCCACAUUUCACCAAACUGUCCACAUCCCAGGAAGCAGAUUGGGUACCAGCCCAUAUGUGGAAUCUGUCAGACACAGGGCUUGCACGAGCAGGACAAUUGCCCGCAUAAGCUCAAGCCAAGCAAGGGGAAGGGGGUUGUAGAAAGCAAUGCAAUUUUUGUCCAGCAAGCUGCACCAGAAUCUGGAGUUAUGACACGGGCACGAAGGCGUCAACAGAUGGAGAACUCUAUAAUUGAGGAUGCUGAGGAGAAGGAUGACCCAGAGAAAAUUGCAAGAAAGAACCGCAAGGAGAAAAGAGAGAGCAAGCAGCCCAAAUCAGAUCCACCGGCUACAAAUGACCAAGAUAAACCAGUCCCUGAUUCUAAAUAACUACCCCAGCUAGGGCUCUGACAAGGGCCAGGGAGUGCCAAGGCGCUACGUAAAAAGUGGAAACGAGUGCUGAAUCUGGAAACGCAGCCGUACAAUAUUCUUCAAGACUUGGAUAGUCAACGCCCGAACAUCACAUUCGCCCAGCUUUUGCAAUUGGCUCUAGGCAUGAGGAAAGUGUUGGCCGUGGCCAUGAAGGGACAUCGAGAAGUACUGGUUAAUUCAGCUUGGCCCCUUAUCACAGAUCUCAGUUCCCCCUGUAUAGAUGUGGAGACACAAGGCAAGCUAAUCUGUCAUGCUGUGAUCGAUGGUGGAAGUGGGGUGAAUAUUUUGCCUGAGGAGACCUGGCGAAAGUUCAAUCUUCCAGAACCAGUUCCAGUGCCAUUUAUGGUUAAAAUGGCCGACGUGUCCAGCCAAGAGGAAUCGUGACCGGUGUUCGCACUCAGAUUGCUGGUCUAGUUUUCCACAUCGAUUUCGUGGUUUUGAGGAUGAAGGAGGGCAUGUUGGGCUAUCCACUGCUGCUCGGACGUCCUUGGCUUCUCCAGGCGGCAGCUGUGCAUAAUUGGCGUACAGGAAUUCUUGCCAUUGGCGAUGGCAAUAAUCGUGUUAAAGUCCAAGUUCAUUUUCGCCCUAGGGCACGGCGAGUACUUGGGGCAGAACAGGAGGAUGAAGACAGCUCUGAUACAUCCAAUUCUAGUAGCCAGACAAACAGUGAGGACGAUGAGGAGGAUAGCAGCAACACAGCCAGUUGUGAGGAGCUAGAAAUGGUGGAUGUGGCUGCUAUCACCAAGAAUUCCUGGGGUAAGCCUCUUUCAGCAUGCAACACUGAGGAGCUUGAGAGCUGGCUGUGGGGAAAGGAUGGAGAGUUGCCUUUCGGUAGCGUACAGGUGGUGGAAGAAGAGACUGGUGCCAGACAGUGGCGAGGACGGAGCCCUUUUCCUCGCUACAUCGCUACGGUGCUACACGAGAAGUGGAUGGACGGCAUUUUGAAUCCUGAUGUGAGGAACAAUUUUUUGAGCGAGGAACUAGUUGCCACUUGCCAGCUCGAAGCUAUUCCAGUGGAGCAGCCAUGUUGGGCUAUGCGAGCAGGGGAGCUGAAGCGGAUAGUAUAUAGAGUUCCAGGUUUGACGAUCAAGAUACCAGAAUUUCCAGUCGACUUGGAUUUUCUGGUGGCACCUUGGAAAAUGGACAACUAUAUCCUGCUGGGACGAGAUUUCUUAAAGGCAGUAAGAGUGUCUCAUCAGUGGAAUGAUCCGCUUCACUUGUGGAUUCCAAAUCCACAUGGCAAUGACAGAGUGCAGAUUGGCAUGGAAGAAGGGGACGAGCCCAGAGAGCAAGUUUUUAUCACGGUGUUGGAAUCAAGAGCUGAAAAUCAAGCUGUGCCAAUGCCAGUGGUGUUCCAGACAGUGGAAAGUUCUGAGGCCUGGAUGGGAGGAACCAAAGCGAUGCAUCUUACAGCAUCUUUGGAGAAUGUGGAACUCACAGCAAUGGUGGAUCUAGGAGCACUUGGCAACUUUUUGACAAAAGAUGGAGCAGCUCGAGCAAGCUUGGCGAUUACAGCUCUUCCUGAGCAUUACAUUGCCGUUUGUGCUGAUGGUGGAGUUUUUCCAGUGCUGGGUCUCGUGAGUUCCAACAUGGUGAUUGGUGAGGGAGACUUUCAUGAGGUGCCUUUUUAUGUGAUCGAGGGCACUGUGACUAGCGUACCAGUUACUUUGGGAGCAGCUUGGCUUUUCCAGGUACAGGCUAGUCACGACUAUGUGACUGGUACUCUGGUGGUGGAAGAUGAUAAUCAUCGAUAUCGGACAAUCAUCUUGUCUGAUAUCAGUGCGUUUGAUUAUCACUUUUCUUACAUGCUGAAAGUCGAGAAGGCUUCAAGGUUAAAAAGCAAGAAAGUGACAGCAUGCAAGGAUCGUAGUAUGCUCAAGUCAUCACCAACUCAGCUAAUUGAGAUCGGGAAUGGACCUCAAGAUCUAGCUGGUCAUCAACUUUCCGUGGACAUGGUGCCAACAGCUGAUUUGGAAGCAGGAAAUUAUCCCAGCUAUUUUUUUAAGGAGCAGGUUGCUGAUCUUCCACUCAAGGAGACUUCCGCUCGUUCUCAAGUCGAUUCAGAUUAUUUUGGAAGGGCACCCCAGACACAGGCUGUGUUUAUGGAGCAGGUUGGUGACGAGCGACGUGAGUUACUGGUGGGACACCAACUCACCAAGGAGGAGGUGGAAGCUUAUCGUCAACUAUUUUUGGAGUUUCGAGAUGGUGUUCUGAGGCACUGCAUUCUUCCUCAUGAGGUGCAGCAGGUGAUUGGCUCUUGCCAUGAUUCUCCCUACGGUGGGCAUUAUGCAGCAGCAGCGACUAUACGGCUUGUGCUCCAAACUGGUUAUUGGUGGCCAACGCUCCAGCAGGAUGUGGCAAAAUUUGUGAGAAGUUGUGAUCCAUGCCAGCGUGUUGGGCGUCCUACUCGACGAGAUGCAAUGCCGUUACAUCCGAUUAUUCCAGCUCUACCUUUUGAGAAGUGGGGAAUCGACUUCAUGGGGCCGUUCAAGCCUACGCGACAUCGCCGGAAUCGUUAUAUCUUGGUCUGCACAGACUAUGUGACCAAGUGGGUGGAAGCUGAGGCUUUUACUGAGGACACGACAGAGAAGGUAGCAGGAUUCCUCUACAAGAAUAUCAUCACGCGUUUCGGAUGCCCACUUGAGCUUGUGAGUGAUCGAGGUACGCAUUUUAUUAAUGCGGUCAUUGCAGCUCUCACAACCAAGUAUGGCAUUUCCCAUCGACGUUCAACACCAUAUCAUCCAAGAGCAAACGGCCAAGUUGAGAGAACCAAUAAGACACUAUGCGACACCAUGACUAAGCUUUGCAAUGCAAGUGCUAGCGACUGGGAUACCAAGCUUCUUGAUGCGCUAUGGGCUUACAGGGUUGCCUACAAGGUAACUACACGGUUCUCACCAUUUCAAUUGGUUUAUGGCCAGGAGGCAAUCCUUCCUCUCGAGCUGGAAGUUCCUUCUUUGCAGACAGCGGUAGCUCACAAUUAUGACUGGGAUGGAGCUGUUCAGCAGCGGCUGGAGCAGUUGGAGAAGCUGGAUGAGACUCGCCUCCUUGCUUUCCAAGCCCGUGAAGUUCUCCAACGUCAACGCAAGAAGUGGUAUGAUCAUCAUUUACGGGCUAAGAGUUUUCAGGAAGGAGAUCUCGUGCUGCUAUAUGAGAGCAAGUACUGGAAGCGUCCGGGAAAGCUUAAGAUCCGCUGGAUUGGGCCUUAUCGCAUGAAGGCUGUGAAUAUCAAUGGCUCAGUCAAGCUGGAGGAUUUUGCUGGUAAUCCUUUGCCCACACCGGUGAACGGAGCUCGACUGCGGUGCUACCAAGUUCCAUCUGGAGAGGAGUGCUCUGGGGACGGAGCACAAUAGUCGCCGGGGUGAUGUCGAGGGCCAGAGCCAGCUCAAGAAUAAGACUUGGUCCAACAGCCUUGGAGCACGUGGAGCAGAGGUUGGCAGUGCAGCGGCGACUAUGGUUGUUCGAGGAGCGUAUCACAGCGAGAAUCGCUCAAGAUCAACCAAUCUGUGUGAGUUGUCCGACUUGUGGGCAGCCUUGGGUUAGGAUGUUGGCAGAGGUUCUAGCAGAGGUCGCUGACGAGGCUAGAGACGAGGCUAGGCAGCAGUGAUUCUCCACGUCGCUGGUGUGUUGUCGCGAGGAGCAACAGUGUGCUAAAAGUGAGCUUACUUCAAAGAAAAUAAUGCAUUUUUCUUAA